AUUGAACGCUGGCGGCAGGCUUAACACAUGCAAGUCGAGCGAGCGGCGGACGGGUGAGUAAUGUCUGGGAAACUGCCUGAUGGAGGGGGAUAACUACUGGAAACGGUAGCUAAUACCGCAUACCAUCAGAUGUGCCCAGAUGGGAUUAGUUAUUAGGUGGGGUAAUGGCUCACCUAGGCGACGAUCCCUAGCUGGUCUGAGAGGAGUACCAGCCGCACGGGAACUGAGACACGGUCCAAAGUCCUACGGGAGGCAGCAGUGGGGAAUAUUGCACAAUGGCCGCAAGCCUGAUGCAGCGAUGCCGCGUGUGUGAAUGAGGCCUUCUGGUUGUAAGGCACUUUCAGCGAGGAGGCGUUACUCGCAGAAGAAGCACCGGCUAACUCCGUGCCAGCAGCCGCGGUAAUAC
rnacentral:rRNA from 1 species